rnacentral:misc_RNA from 1 species
GUAAAAUUACCACACUUAAAUUGAUUUAACAAAGAGUAAAUAACCAGCAUAAUUAACAAUCUACCAACAUAAGUUAUCACUUAGUUGCAUAAUUGACUUAUACUAACUCUAGGUAAACUAAGCCUAACAUAACUUCAAAAGCUGUACUUGGAAGAAGCAUUGUAAGGCUAACAUGCUCUACCAUUUCGGAUGACCUUUGAGCUCUCAAAUAACGACAAAUUUAAACGAAUAACCAGCAAUUACUACGAAUUCCAAACCGAGCCAAUACACGCAAUUUAGGAUCUAUAGCUCGAAGGAGUGACAAGAGGAUCUACCAAAGAGAAGUCUAGAGCUCAACUAAUCCUAGGAUCAACUCAUGACUCUUGAAAGAAUAAGAUCCUUAAAAGGACAAACAACAGCAACAACGGCAAUAGAUACUUGAUGAUACAUAACAAACUAGUACAAAUAAAG